rnacentral:misc_RNA from 1 species
UGAAGAUCAAUGAUGAAUCCAUAGAUAUACUUUCUGAAUCAUUUGGUAAAAAAUAACUUAUCAAUCUGCUCCAAGAUACAACAGACACUUACCUGGAUGUUGCAAAUCAAAUACGCAGGAUCGUUGUUGAGGACUCUGUGCACUAGAAGAUUUUCGUGCACGACCUUGGCUAGAUUUAUAUAAAAAACAAAUUAUAGUUUAACCCUUUUUUAUCUAUUUUUAAAAGUUAAGAGGCUUAUUCAUCCCCAAAAUAGUAAAAGGACUUAUUUGAUCUAUUUUUAAAAUUUGAAAAACUUAAUUGAUCUUUUUUAAAAUUUACAGGGCUUGUUUGAACCCCAAAAAUCUUUAAGGACUUAUAUGACUAUUAACUCAUACUUUAAGGGCCAAAAUAGGCAUUUUGCCAAGAAAAAAUAGUUCAAUCUCUUAUGUUUACUGUGAAUCUUCCUACACCUUAUUGGUAGGAUGCAGUUCUUGCUGCAAUAUAUCUUAUCAAUAGAAUGCUUCUGAGAACAUAGAACUUUAAGAGCCCUUUGGAGGUUUUACAAGAUCAUAACUCUUAUACCAUUCCUUCAAAGACAUUUAGACGUGUUUGUUUUGUCCACAAAA